AUUGAACGCUGGCGGCAGGCCUAACACAUGCAAGUCGAACGGUAACAGGAAGAAGCUUGCUUCUUUGCUGACGAGUGGCGGACGGGUGAGUAAUGUCUGGGAAACUGCCUGAUGGAGGGGGAUAACUACUGGAAACGGUAGCUAAUACCGCAUAACGUCGCAAGACCAAAGAGGGGGACCUUCGGGCCUCUUGCCAUCGGAUGUGCCCAGAUGGGAUUAGCUAGUAGGUGGGGUAACGGCUCACCUAGGCGACGAUCCCUAGCUGGUCUGAGAGGAUGACCAGCCACACUGGAACUGAGACACGGUCCAGACUCCUACGGGAGGCAGCAGUGGGGAAUAUUGCACAAUGGGCGCAAGCCUGAUGCAGCCAUGCCGCGUGUAUGAAGAAGGCCUUCGUGUUGUAAAGUACUUUCAGCGGGGAGGAAGGGAGUAAAGUUAAUACCUUUACUCAUUGACGUUACCCGCAGAAGAAGCACCGGCUAACUCCGUG
rnacentral:rRNA from 1 species